UUCCUUUCGUGUGUAGGGGACCUGCGGAAGGAUCAUUA
rnacentral:rRNA from 1 species